CAGCGCGCAGGCGCGGCGGACCGGCGGGGCGGGGUGGACCCCGCUGCGCAGACGCGGGCGCGUGUUCUGGCGGUUUUCACUGUUCAGCCAAGAAGCAGCAGCUCAGUCCUCUGGGUGAAAGAUGAUGGAAGCCAAGUGGCACCUGUUCUGGACAUACAGGAAAUGGGACAGAUACCAACAAUAUGGGAUGGCAGACAAUGUGUGCAAGUGCUCUGACAGCAGGGAGGUAUGACUGGCCCUACCUUUGGGAGACUUUCCUUCCAGGUGGUCCAAACUAAGACUGAGAAUCUGGAAAUACUUCUGUGAAGCAGAAGAAACUUGACUGAGUGAAAGCUGGAGCUGUGCCAGGUGUGGAGAAGGAGUGAAUGGUAAAGUGUGCCUUGUGAGCACAUAGUAAGUCAGCAGUUGGGGAAGCAAGGGAGUGAGAAGAUGACCAAGAGCUUUUCACGGGUCAGGAAGGGCUUAGGGGAAGCCAGGUCAAAAGAACUGGAGGAAAAGAACAAAGGAUCAGGCACAGGUCUGCUCAAAGCCUUGGUGCUUGGGAGCGUCUAGCCCUCAGUGAGCUUGGGCAUGAACAGACAGGGAGUUAUCUGUGAAACAGCUCUGUAUCUCUUGUCCACACAGAAUUCCAAAAUAUAGAUCAACUCUUUUUGUUCAUGACUCAAUUAUGACAACUUUUUCACUAUACUUCUAUAAUAUAAAUCAUAGAUGUAGCCAAGAAACCAAGAUUGGGGACACAUCAUGACCUCUGAACAACUACAAGGAACUUACCCCCAGAAUGGGGAUUUGGAGUAGUGACAUUCUCAAGCAGUCCAGCCCUGCUAUUCCAGAGAAGGCCCAAGCCCACACAAAUCAUAUAUUUGGGGUAAUACACCAAGCCCCAAGCCAGACAUACUAAUAAAGAGGCUUAGCCAAUUACACUUCAUGUUUCUGUCCAUCCACAUAUUCCCUGCCCUCCAACAGUUCUCCACAGGCCAAGAACAUCCAAGUCUUCCAGCCCCCAAAGUCUCCCUUUAGCUUGGCAGGGAAGAGUGCUUGCUUUGGAACCAAAAGGGCUGGGUUGAGAUUCUGGCUUAUGAGUAUGACUUUGGGCAAGUUAUCUCCAUCUUUGUGCCUCAGUGUGCUCAUUUGUAGAAAGAAGAUUAUAAUAAUUUUCUGAGGAAUAGGGGCGCCUGGGUGGCUCAGUGAGUUAAAGCCUCUGCCUUCGGCUCAGGUCA